rnacentral:tRNA from 1 species
GGGCUUAUAACUCAGCUGGUCAGAGUACGCGCUUGAUAAGCGUGAAGUCAGUAGUUCAAAUCUACUUAAGCUCC